rnacentral:rRNA from 1 species
AACGAACGCUGGCGGCAUGCCUAACACACGCAAGUCGAACGAGACCUUCGGGUCUAGUGGCGCACGGGUGCGUAACGCGUGGGAACCUGCCCUUAGGUUCGGAAUAACUCCCCGAAAGGGGUGCUAAUACCGGAUAAUGUCUUCGGACCAAAGAUUUAUCGCCUUUGGAUGGGCCCGCGUUGGAUUAGCUAGUUGGUAGGGUAAAAGCCUACCAAGGCGACGAUCCAUAGCUGGUCUGAGAGGAUGAUCAGCCACACUGGGACUGAGACACGGCCCAGACUCCUACGGGGGGCGGCAGUGGGGAAUAUUGGACAAUGGGCGAAAGCCUGAUCCAGCAAUGCCGCGUGAGUGAUGAAGGCCUUAGGGUUGUAAAGCUCUUUUACCCGGGAUGAUAAUGACAGUACCGGGAGAAUAAGCUCCGGCUAACUCCGUG